rnacentral:rRNA from 1 species
GAUGAACGCUAGCGGCAGGCCUAAUACAUGCAAGUCGGACGGGAUUGAGGAGCUUGCUCUUCAUGAGAGUGGCGCACGGGUGCGUAACACGUAUGUAACCUACCCAUAUCAGGGGGAUAGCCUCUCGAAAGAGAGAUUAAGCCCGCAUAAAAUCACACUGUGGCAUCACAGAAUGAUCAAAUAUUUAUAGGAUAUGGAUGGGCAUGCGGAACAUUAGCUAGUUGGUAAGGUAACGGCUUACCAAGGCUACGAUGUUUAGGGGAUCUGAGAGGAUGACCCCCCACACGGGUACUGAGACACGGACCAGACUCCUACGGGAGGCAGCAGUAAGGAAUAUUGGUCAAUGGACGGAAGUCUGAACCAGCCAUGCCGCGUGCAGGAAGACGGCCCUACGGGUUGUAAACUGCUUUUGUACGGGAAUAAACCUACCGACGUGUCGGUAGCUGAAUGUACUGUAAGAAUAAGGAUCGGCUAACUCCGUGCCAGCAGCCGCCGUAAUAC